rnacentral:rRNA from 1 species
ACGUACACUCCUGCGGGAGGCAGCAGUGGGGAAUAUUGGACAAUGGGCGCAAGCCUGAUCCAGCCAUGCCGCGUGAGUGAUGAAGGCCCUAGGGUUGUAAAGCUCUUUCACCGGUGAAGAUAAUGACGGUAACCGGAGAAGAAGCCCCGGCUAACUUCGUGCCAGCAGCCGCGGUAAUACGAAGGGGGCUAGCGUUGUUCGGAUUUACUGGGCGUAAAGCGCACGUAGGCGGACUAUUAAGUCAGGGGUGAAAUCCCGGGGCUCAACCCCGGAACUGCCUUUGAUACUGGUAGUCUUGAGUUCGAGAGAGGUGAGUGGAAUUCCGAGUGUAGAGGUGAAAUUCGUAGAUAUUCGGAGGAACACCAGUGGCGAAGGCGGCUCACUGGCUCGAUACUGACGCUGAGGUGCGAAAGCGUGGGGAGCAAACAGGAUUAGAAAUCCCUGUAGUCCC